rnacentral:rRNA from 1 species
CAGGCUUAACACAUGCAAGUCGAGGGGCAGCAUUUUAGUUUGCUUGCAAACUGAAGAUGGCGACCGGCGCACGGGUGAGUAACACGUAUCCAACCUGCCGAUAACUCCGGAAUAGCCUUUCGAAAGAAAGAUUAAUACCGGAUAGCAUACGAAUAUCGCAUGAUAUUUUUAUUAAAGAAUUUCGGUUAUCGAUGGGGAUGCGUUCCAUUAGUUUGUUGGCGGGGUAACGGCCCACCAAGACUACGAUGGAUAGGGGUUCUGAGAGGAAGGUCCCCCACAUUGGAACUGAAACACGGUCCAAACUCCUACGGGAGGCAGCAGUGAGGAAUAUUGGUCAAUGGGCGAGAGCCUGAACCAGCCAAGUAGCGUGAAGGAUGAAGGCUCUAUGGGUCGUAAACUUCUUUUAUAUGGAAAUAAAGUUUUCCACGUGUGGAAUUUUGUAUGUACCAUAUGAAUAAGGAUCGGCUAACUCCGUGCCAGCAGCCGCGGUAAUACGGAGGAUCCAAGCGUUAUCCGGAUUUAUUGGGUUUAAAGGGAGCGUAGGUGGAUUGUUAAGUCAGUUGUGAAAGUUUGCGGCUCAACCGUAAAAUUGCAGUUGAAACUGGCAGUCUUGAGUACAGUAGAGGUGGGCGGAAUUCGUGGUGUAGCGGUGAAAUGCUUAGAUAUCACGAAGAACUCCGAUUGCGAAGGCAGCUCACUAGACUGUCACUGACACUGAUGCUCGAAAGUGUGGGUAUCAAACAGGAUUAGAUACCCUGGUAGUCCACACAGUAAACGAUGAAUACUCGCUGUUUGCGAUAUACAGUAAGCGGCCAAGCGAAAGCAUUAAGUAUUCCACCUGGGGAGUACGCCGGCAACGGUGAAACUCAAAGGAAUUGACGGGGGCCCGCACAAGCGGAGGAACAUGUGGUUUAAUUCGAUGAUACGCGAGGAACCUUACCCGGGCUUAAAUUGCAACAGAAUAUAUUGGAAACAGUAUAGCCGUAAGGCUGUUGUGAAGGUGCUGCAUGGUUGUCGUCAGCUCGUGCCGUGAGGUGUCGGCUUAAGUGCCAUAACGAGCGCAACCCUUAUCUUUAGUUACUAACAGGUCAUGCUGAGGACUCUAGAGAGACUGCCGUCGUAAGAUGUGAGGAAGGUGGGGAUGACGUCAAAUCAGCACGGCCCUUACGUCCGGGGCUACACACGUGUUACAAUGGGGGGUACAGAAGGCGGCUACCUGGUGACAGGAUGCUAAUCCCAAAAACCUCUCUCAGUUCGGAUCGAAGUCUGCAACCCGACUUCGUGAAGCUGGAUUCGCUAGUAAUCGCGCAUCAGCCAUGGCGCGGUGAAUACGUUCCCGGGCCUUGUACACACCGCCCGUCAAGCCAUGAAAGCCGGGGGUACCUGAAGUACGUAACCGCAAGGAGCGUCCUAGGGUAAAACUGGUAAUUGG